UGCGUAGACGGUUAUGUAAGUCGGGUGUGAAAGCCCCGGGCUCAACCUGGGAAUUGCAUUCGAAACUGCAUAGCUAGGGUGCGGAAGAGGGAAGCGGAACUUCCGGUGUAGCGGUGAAAUGCGUAGAUAUCGGAAAGAACACCAGUGGCGAAAGCGGCUUCCUGGUCCAGCACCGACGUUCAGGCACGAAAGCGUGGGGAGCAAACAGGAUUAGAUACCCUGGUAGUCCACGCCAUAAACGAUGAGAACUAGACGUUGAGAGGGUAAGCCUCACAGUGUCGUAGCUAACGCGCUAAGUUCUCCGCCUGGGGAGUACGGCCGCAAGGUUGAA
rnacentral:rRNA from 1 species